GCAUAUCAAUAAGCGGAGGAAAAGAAACCAACAGGGAUUGCCCCAGUAACGGCGAGUGAAGCGGCAACAGCUCAAAUUUGAAAUCUGGCCCCCAGGGUCCGAGUUGUAAUUUGCAGAGGAUGCUUUUGGCAAGGUGCCUUCCGAGUUCCCUGGAACGGGACGCCAUAGAGGGUGAGAGCCCCGUCUGGUUGGAUACCGAGCCUCUGUAAAGCUCCUUCGACGAGUCGAGUAGUUUGGGAAUGCUGCUCUAAAUGGGAGGUAUAUGUCUUCUAAAGCUAAAUAUUGGCCAGAGACCGAUAGCGCACAAGUAGAGUGAUCGAAAGAUGAAAAGCACUUUGAAAAGAGGGUUAAAUAGUACGUGAAAUUGUUGAAAGGGAAGCGCUCAUGACCAGACUUGGGCCCGGUGAAUCAUCCAGCGCUCGUCGCUGGUGCACUUUGCCGGGCUCAGGCCAGCAUCAGUUCGCUCCGGGGGACAAAGGCUCUGGGAAUGUGGCUCCUCCGGGAGUGUUAUAGCCCACUGCGCAAUACCCUGGGGCGGACUGAGGUUCGCGCAUUCGUGCAAGGAUGCUGGCGUAAUGGUCAUCAGUGACCCGUCUUGAAACACGGACCAAGGAGUCGUCUUCGUAUGCAAGUGUUCGGGUGUAAAACCCCUACGCGUAAUGAAAGUGAACGCAGGUGAGAGCUUCGGCGCAUCAUCGACCGAUCCUGAUGUUCUCGGAUGGAUUUGAGUAAGAGCAUACGGGGCCGGACCCGAAAGAAGGUGAACUAUGCCUGUAUAGGGUGAAGCCAGAGGAAACUCUGGUGGAGGCUCGCAGCGGUUCUGACGUGCAAAUCGAUCGUCAAAUAUGGGCAUGGGGGCGAAAGACUAAUCGAACCUUCUAGUAGCUGGUUUCCGCCGA
rnacentral:rRNA from 1 species